AACGAACGCUGGCGGCAGGCCUAACACAUGCAAGUCGAACGCCUCAGCAAUGGGGAGUGGCAGACGGGUGAGUAACGCGUGGGAACGUGCCCAUCGGUUUGGGAUAACCCAGGGAAACUU
rnacentral:rRNA from 1 species